rnacentral:rRNA from 1 species
CCUACUGGUGGCAGCAGUGAGGAAUAUUUGUCAAUGGGCGCGAGCCUGAACCAGCCAAGUAGCGUGAAGGAUGACUGCCCUACGGGUUGUACACUUCUUUUAUAAAGGGAUAAAGUGAUGCACGUGUGCCUUUUUGUAUGUACUUUAUGAAUAAGGAUCGGCUAACUCCGUGCCAGCAGCCGCGGUAAUACGGAGGCUCCGAGCAUUAUCCGGAUGUAUUGGGUUUAAAGGGAGCGUAGAUGGGUUGUUAAGUCAGUUGUGAAAGUUUGCGGCUCAAACCUAAACUUGCAAUUGAAACUGGAAGUGUUGAGUACAGUUGAGGUAGGCGGAAUUCGUGGUGUAGCGGUGAAAUGCUUAGAUAUCACGAAGAACUCCGAUUGCGAAGGCAGCUUACUAAGCUGCCACUGACAUUGAUGCUCGAAGGUGUGGGUAUCAAACAGGAUUAGAUACCCCGGUAGUC